UAUGGCUGGCCUGAUUUACCACAUGGUAAUCC
rnacentral:piRNA from 1 species